AACGAACGCUGGCGGCAGGCCUAACACAUGCAAGUCGAGCGAAGCCUUCGGGCUUAGCGGCGGACAGGUGAGUAACGCGUGGGAACGUGCCCUUUGGUACGGAAUAGCCCCGGGAAACUGGGAGUAAUACCGUAUGUGGUCGAGAGACGAAAGAUUUAUCGCCAAAGGAUGGGCCCGCAUUGGAUUAGGUAGUUGGUGGGGUAAUGGCCUACCAAGCCGACGAUCCAUAGCUGGUUUGAGAGGAUGAUCAGCCACACUGGGACUGAGACACGGCCCAGACUCCUACGGGAGGCAGCAGUGGGGAAUCUUAGACAAUGGGGGAAACCCUGAUCUAGCCAUGCCGCGUGAUCGAUGAAGGCCUUAGGGUUGUAAAGAUCUUUCAGUGGGGAAGAUAAUGACUGUACCCACAGAAGAAGCCCCGGCUAACUCCGUGCCAGCCGCCGCAGUAAAAC
rnacentral:rRNA from 1 species